CCUUUCCCAACUGGUUGCUCCCUCCAGGGAUAGGGGCUCCCCAUUGCCCUACAUUCUCAUCAGCAGUGAAGACUGUUCUGUUGGCUAGUUUCCCGAGACUUUUCAGUUCCCCAGAGUGAUCUGAAACCACACAUUCCUCUCUCCACGCUACUGUAGCACAGUGCUCAUCCGGUCGUACUGAAUCCUGUGAGAUGCCACCCCUCCUGUCUGCUGGCCAUUCUAAUUCCAUCCCCAUCUUUGGCACAAACUAAGAGCCAUCUUCUGGCUCCUGGUGGAGGAAGCUGCAGCAACUUUUGAUCUCUCUCCUUCUAUGGGGACUCUCCUUUGUGUUGCUGACCUUGAAGUCCCUCCGAGGAUGUAAGUGAGCUCAGAACGGCCUGUCUAUAAGUACAGUCUUCACCCCUCAUCAAGGAAGCUCCUCUUUGCAACAGAUGGAGACCACUACAGAAAACCACAACCAAUCAUAAUGCAGAGUUGUGGAGCCCAGUCCCAAUACAUACAUCUACAAACACUCCUGUACCGAAGGCUUGGGGAACUUGCAAAAGAGGAUUCUAAAAGACUGUGAGAGCCAGGGGAUCAUGGAAUUUGCUGUGAGAUUGUGUCUCCUAUUAACAUCAGAAGCUACAACCCCCAGAGUCUCACCAGCAUGACUGCCCAAAUGUGAGCUGAACAAGUAGACACUAAUAGGCAUGCCAAAGUGGACGUGGGAAAGCCCGUGAGGCCUCUAUCCUACACAAAGAACAGCGGGAACAGGAGAGGAGGUCCUCCCUGGGGAAGAGCACAGCCAUCGAUUGUCUGGUGCCAAAUGGUCUGAAAACAUGUAUAUAAGUAACAUGACAGGGACUGAGCAGGUUGUAUUUAAGAAUAUAUAUUGCGUGCAAUAAUGAAAAAAGAGGCCAUGAAUUUGGAGACCAUUGGGGAUGGAUAUGUGGAUGGGUUGAGAGGGAGGAAAGGGAAGGGAGAAAUGUUAUAAUAAUAUCAUAAUCCCAAAAAUAAAAUUUUAAAAAUUUUAAAGGAAAGGAAAGAUGGGAGAUUGGCUGUCAGAGGAUGGCCUGUCACAUGAGGUUAGCAUUUUUGCCUUUGGUUGUGGGGUAUGAUCUCUAUUGCUCAUCAGGGAUCAGGAAAGCCUAAGUGUGGGGGCAGGACACUCUCCAAACAGGAAAUGGUUUGCUAAGAAGUAGUUACUAAAAAUUAUGGUUUGGAUCUUAAAUGGCCUCCAGAGACCUAUAGUCACCAAUACCUGUGACAAUCUCUGCAAGUACCAACCUGUGACAAUCUCUAGAGGUGGGGACUAAUGGAAAGAUGUUAGACCAUUGGGGCAGGUGUGCCAUUGAAGGCUGUUGGGACCCCCAGCUUUGCCCUCUCCCCUACAGGGUGAGCAGCUUUGUCCCACCGCACACUCUAGCUAUCAAAAAUGGAACUCCAUGACCUUCUGGAAGUGAAGUCAGGAUUUUCUGACUGCUCACGUGGUAUCACAGGGAGAUAGCCCUAGCUCAGGGCCUGUCUCUACCACCUUCUACCCUGGCCAUGCCUGAGGCCAGCCCAUAUCUCCCCGUUCUGUGUGCUUCCCAGAAAGCAGCCACCAUCCCUGGAGCCACUGGGAGAGGGCAGACUGUUGGAACAAGCCCAAAUGAGACCUGGAAAUGAGCGUGGGCCAUCCAGGCAGAUGUUGGGGUCUCGAGUGCUAUGAGAACAUCUGAAAGCAGCAGCUGUGGCCAUGUGUACUGAUCAGGUGUCUCCCUGGAUCCAAGGACUGUUCAUGCCAGAGACAAAGGGAGGGCAGGACAGAGGUCUACAAACAGCAACAGCAUCGUCUCACCCAAGGGGUGCAGGCUUGUAUUUUCCACAGAGUGGGCAGGGCUUGUUCACAGUGUGAAUUGAGACUAAGUGGGAACUGUUUUUGAGAAGUUUUGUUUGCAGUGCCAGGGAUUAAACCCAGGGCUUCCUGCAUGCCGGGCAAGUGCCGGACCACUGAGCUAUACCACGAGCCUCAAAAGUUCCCCCAAUAGACCAGGAACCUGCAGAAGGCCUCAUAUUUCUGACCAGAGAUUUCUUUAGCUGUGACUCUGAACUGGGGAAGGAUUCAACUCCUAAUUGUAUUUCUCAUUCCCAGCAACAAACCAAAACCAGAUUAGAACAAAGCAAAAUAGAGAACGGCCAUCCCUUCAGACACUGAGCCAGCUGCCUCUGGCCUGCUCCUGCCAAUGCCCUCCAAUCCGGCUCCCUUCUCCAACUCCCAGCUCACUCCUUCCCUCUGCCCGCCCUGCUUGGCUGAAGUCUUGAUCCCUGCCAUGGCUACAGGAAAAACAACACAACACUGGGCAGAGGAAAGCCCCGUGGCAGAGCCCUACUGAGCAUUAGAACCAGGAAUUUCCGUGACGACACAGCCCAGAGGGAAACCUUGGUAUCUUGGAUCGAAGAUCAGGAAAACGUAGCUCCAGAGUGGGAGGAAGAAAGACCUUCCAAAGGCCAAGAGGCUGCUGGGAAGAUCAGAUGGAGGAGGGGCUCUGUUAAGGUGGGAAGAAGUUAAAGCUCCUGCCACCCCGGUGGUGUCUAGCCCUUGAAUAUUCCCAGAAGUGCUUAGCAUCUUCAGAUGAGUGUCUUCAGAGGAAGGAAUUUGGAAGCGGGGAGCAACAGGCAACUGAGACCCCUACUUCUGAGAGAAGCUGAAAUAUUCCUAUGUCAGGACUACAGACCAUGCAUCUUACAGGCCUGGAAGGAUGCUUAGUGGUUAACACUUCCAGGGAAUGAAUCUGAGGUAGCCCACAGGGGUGGGACCCAGCACUGGCUUAUUUUAGAAGCAAAACACUCAUGGAUAUAUUUCUGGACCUCAAACAGGACAGGUGAAAGGAAGCAAGGAAAGAGAGGCUUGGUGUCUGUCUCCAGGGAGAGAAUGGUCAUGUGGCUUUCCCAGGUUUCCCAGGGAACACACACACACACACACACACACACACACACAAAUACACACAAACACAGCACCUCUCAAAAAUGCCUGUGACCCUGAUGACCCGGCUGGAUUCCCCACCCCAGCUCAGUCCCCCUGCUCUGGCUCUUGCAGCUGCCAGCACCUGCCAGCAACAAGGAAGCGGUGUACUGGGACUGCAGCUUUUCGAAGCUGCUUAUGAAACCGAUGACUAAGCCCCCAGGGCGGGAGAAGGGGGCAGCACAUGCCUAGCUCAGCAAGAAUGAGUACACUACCAACUUGGUCCAAGUCAGCGUGGGCUGACUGCCAGCCUUAUGUUGGCCUAGUCCCUCAGGAUGGGAAGACAGAAGGGUAUGGUCCUUGCUGUGAAGAACCAGGCAGAACCAUAGGAACUACAGUCAGGGACACAAAUCUGCCAAAGAGGGAGAGAGCGAUCUGACAGUGAUGACUUCCCAGGGCGUCUGUGAUGGAGGCAGAAAGAGGAAAUUUUCCAUCUGCAUCACCACCCUGUAGUUGCAGACUCCUCGAGCAAGCACUCCUUCUUCCCCAUGUCUCCUGAUCCAGUCAGCCUAGCUUCUGGGAUCUUUGUGGCCUCCAAGUUUCUCCAUGUGUCUCCAACUGGUUCAGGCCCUCAUUUCAAGCCAUGACCAGACUCCCUGCACUAGUACCCCAGGCAGUGUCCACAACUCAGCUGCAGCCAUUUGACUCCUCUCUUUGAAAACCCCAUGUGAUGUCAUGCAGCCCCCAGAAUAAAUGCUAAGUCCCAAAUGUGCCUCAUGCUGUAGUUCAAAUCGGCCCAAGGCUUAGAAGUAGAGCAAGCUUUGGUGUAGGUUUGGCUCAAGGGCUCACCCAAGUUCCUCCUCUGUCUGGAUGUUGUGUUCUGGUCCCCUUUGUCAUGUCUUAAUGCUCAGACAGGCUUUUCUCAUGGUGCCAAAAUGGCAGCAGCAAUUCCUACCUUUCCACUAUGGUAGGGAGAGAGAGAGAGAGAGAGAGAGAGAGAGAGAGAGAGAGAGAGAGAGAAUUAGUUUUAUUCCCCGAGGCUGUCUUCUUCAGUUUCUUAGGUCAGAAUGAGUCACAUGUUACUCUUAGUCAAGAAGGAUUUGUUGAUAAGUCUAUACUGGGGCUGUUUGCCCCACUUUAGGGUUAAAGUGGCAUUAAUUAAGGAGUGUCAGGGCUGUCCAACCUUUUGACAUUGAUGUCUACAAGUGUGUUAGACCACACGGACACAUGUAGCCCAAGGGCUACCAGUUAGACAUCCCUAGGGUCAGUCUACUGAGAUGUGACAAUCCACUAAUUCAGUCCUUACGAGUGUCACCUCUUACUCUGUGCCAUCUACUGUCUCAUCUGCCCCAUGCCAAGCCCUUUGCAUACAUGACAACAAUCACAGAGGUAGAACCAAGACCCAGAGGUGACAAGGAAUUUACCUAGUGUCAUACAGCUGGUGGUUAGUGGAUUUAGAAUCCGAGCCCAAGCAGAACAAAUAUCUGUAAUUAUUACCGCCUCCUGCCUUACCCGGUUGCUCAAACAGCUAGGGAUUAGGAUAGACAUGCAGGUGGCUGAGUCAACAUUCUGAUUCAGAAGUGUGAAUGCUGGCUGUGCUGCUGAGGAACUGCAUCUCUCUGCAGUAUGCAUGGGCAAGAUCUGUCAGAAAAACCGACAAACAGCAGCAGGGCACCCUGGCUACAGAAAGCUGUGGCGAUCCUUCAAGAACUGGAUGCUGCCAAUAUCUAGCUGUCUCAGCAAAGCAAGCAAAGGAGGGUCAGGAAGGAUCUGCUCCCCUUCAGAUGAGCAGCAACCGGAAGCAGAGGCUACCUGCCCACUUGUGAACACAUUCCUAGGCCCCGGAGAACAGAGCACACACAGACAGAAGCCCAGCACCUGAGGUAGCCUGUCAGCCACCUCAUUGCCAGCAUCCCCCUGAGCCUUCAUCCUGGGCCUGCCUGGUAGAAUUGGAGCUCAGGUGGGGUAACAGGUAGGCAGGUGACAGAGGUGGAAGGUGAGAUCAUUGCUCCUAAGGUGGUCAGAGAGAGGUGGCUGGAGACUAUAAUCUCAGCCCUAGGGAGCCUGAGGCAAGAGGACCUUGAGUUAAAGACCACAUUGGCUGCUCUACCUAUUAAGUUUCAGGCCAAGCUAGGCUACCUAGAGAGACCCUGUCUCAAUACACCCCCCACACACACCCAGUUAAAAAAAAAGGGGGAGGGAAGAAAAGAGGAAAAACUGAUGAUGUUUAUUCCCAGACUUUAUGUAGGUGUGCUGACUUUUAACCAUUGGAUACUAUUUCCUUAUCAUUUCUUAAACUCAUAGCAGGACAAACAAUACACAUGAAUAGUCCAGAAAUAGCAAGUGGGCCCCUGUGCCCGUUUUCUGAGUCACAAGCAGAAGCUUCUCAUUACUGAGCUACACAGCAAAACUCUACAACCCCCAUCUUACCCCUGCUCCCUCCACCUGCCCCCUGACCUGCAGCUGCUGCUGCUGAUGUAGCCAUGACAAAUAAUUCCCAAACCCUACUGGGCCUAAGCCAUCUGGGGACUCAGUCUGUCCCCUCUGUGAAGAUACACUGAAGACCUGGAGUCAAAUGGGUAAAGCAGAGGUUUUGAGGGUCUUGGUCCCUUUUGUGAAUGGGGGUGGGUCGUUUGCAUGGGGAACAGUAGCAGGAAAGACAGCCAAGCAGAGGGUGGAGGUCCCCUGUCCCCCACCCUCUCCACCAGGGGCUCCAAGGUCAAUUCACUGGUGAGAAUUGAUCUUAGAGGGCAAAGGGUGAACCUGCUGUGGCCAGAAGGAAGCCUCUCUCUAAGGUGGUGACAGGAGCAAGGUUCUCCAUGCUCCAGGAGGAACCACUGGGUUGCCAGUGCCUACAGUGGAGAGAAGACACCAAUCAUUGUGAUUCUGAGACCGAAAACAAGCCCCCACCCCCAAAUCUGUCAUCGGAUAUUCAAAAAGAACCUGACUUUUUGUUCGUUAUUUAUUCGGGGUGUUUUGAGACAGCUGCGUCUCACUACGGCAGUUAGCCUAGCUUCUCGAUUGUGACCCUCAACCUCUAUACUGGAGAUUACAGGUGUGAGCCACCAUGCCUGGCAAGCUGUGUUCUUUUAAAAUGGCCACACCUCAAUUCUGGGGAAGUCAGCCAUCUGGCCACUUCCCAGGUCCCUGUGAGCUGAGCCACCUAUCAUCCUGUCUGAGAGUCAUUACCUUCAUCUGACAGUCAGCGGCUCUCCGAACCCAGAAGAGCUUAUAAAUGUAAAUUGUGACUAUUUUAAGCCUGACACAUCCGAGGGUAAAGACUUAACCCCUCCUACAGUUCUAUGAAAAGCCAAAUGGUUGUCACAAAUGCCAUAUGUUUAUGUAUAUCACUUACAGGAGAACAUCCAGACCCUCUCUUUGAGUCCUUUUCUUUCUGGCUUUAUACAUGACUUGAACAAACUUGAUUUUUAAGUUGGCAGAUCAAUUACAGAGGGGAGAGAGGUUGCCUGAGACACCCAGAGAGCAAUCUGAAGUAAAAAUUGCCCAACUACCGAAUGCAAAUAUAGACACAUGCAUGCAUGCCCUAUAAAUAUGUAUAUCUGAGUAGUUAAAACCUGUACUUUCUUCAUAUUUUCCAUAUUUACUUAAUAUCCUUUUAUGAUUCCAGGAUUUCAUUCCAGUACUUUUAAUUGCGCCGUGUCUUUGGGCCACCUUUCCAUGCUGUACUCUUUGGAAGGAAUUCACAAUACAACUCCAACUCCACAAAGGAGAAAUGUCUCCAUAAAUUAUUUGAAAUUUUUCUAUGCAGAAGAACUCUGUCUUCCUCAAAUAUUUAUUUACCUCAUCAUUUAUUUAUAUCCGUAUGUCUUUAUAUAUUUAUUUCUUACUUGGGACUUAAAAUUGUUCAUAUCAUCCCAGCUUUGAUCACCGUGAGUUCUUCCAGUUGGUUCCUGUGCCCUGUGUCCUUUAGUCAGAUCCCUUUCAUUGUACAGUUUGGGGUCAUUGUUGCUGUUGUUUUGUUUCAAGCAUUUCCUUUCUUUCUGGAAUAUUCUCUAGGCUCAUUUUGUAUGUUUCCUGCCCAAGUCUUAUAGGCAGUCCUUUCUUCAAGGGCUUCUGUGCCCUUUAACUGGAGAAGGUAUCAGAAGCAGGGUAUGGAUGUUACUAAGUUCGCUCAUUUCUGUGAGGCUGUGGCUGGGCUUCAGGCCCCUCAGCCAAAAGCACAUUUAUAUAUCUAUAAAUCAUUCCGGAGGUAUACCGUUGUCAAUAUUGACUUAAGCAAGAGUUCAGGCAAAUGUCUCCAGCUCUUGUCCUUUACCACGAAGACGGUUAUAACCUUCUUACCAUCUUACCCCAGCCCAGGAGGCCUGCCUGCUCUAAAUGGUUAUAUGGUAUGGUUCGUUAACGGUUCAGGUCCUGUGUGUAUGAACAUUUAAGUCAGGAUUGUUCCUCAGGGGCCGGUUCUGUCAACCACAGUCUUCUCACGCUGCACCCACACCUUUAUUCUCAUGAAUUCGCUCAUUUCCAAAUCACUUAGCUCAGUUCCUCCUUCCCAUUCUCUUUAGAGAGGUUUUAAAGCCCCAGUUUGGGGAUUUUCUAUUGAAGUGCUUUCAAGUUUACUAAUUGCUCCAUCAGCAAACCAAGUCUUCUUGUGAGCCCAUCAAAGGCAUUCUUCAUUUCUAUUACAAUGUAUUUUAUUUCCUUUUUGUUUGUUUUGUUUUGUUUGUUUGGUUUGGUUUUUCAAGACAGGGUUUCUCUUGUGUAGCCCUGGCUGUCCUGGAACUCACUCUGUAGACCAGGCUGGCCUGGAACUGGUAGAGAUCUGCCUGCUUCUGCCUCUGCCUCUGCCUCCCAAGUACUGGCAUUAAAGGCAUGUGCCAUAUUUCCUCUUGUUUCUUAUUCUUAGAAUUUCCCACCUUCUGAUUAUUUUUAUCCUUCUCUUCUCCCAUGUUGCCUGUUUUUCCACUGUAGUUCUUUCUAUUUUAGUUAUUUUAAGUUCUUUGUCUGGGGCCUGAAGACAUGGCUCAGCAGUUGCAAAUGAAAUGAUCUUGCAGAGGACCUGAGUUUGGCUUCCAGCACACAUCAGGCAGCUCUCAACUGCCUGUAAUGCCAGGGGUAUAUGAUGGAUGCCUCUGGACUCUUCGGGUACCCACCCAAGUGCAUCCACAUAUAUACAUGAUUAAAAUAAAGUAAAUCUUUAAAAAAAAAUUCCUUCCAAAAUCUGUCACGUCUGACUCCAGAGCUCAUGGUUCUUGCUUCGUUCAUACAAACCAUUUGCAUUGCUUUUUAAAUACAUAUUUUAUGUUUACUUUAUGUCCAUUGGUGUUUUGCCUGCAUGGAUGUCUGUGUGAGAGUAUCAGAAGCUCUGGAAUUGGAGCUACAGACAGAUGUAAGCCUCCAUGGGAGUGCUAGGAAUUGAACUGGGGUCCUCUGAAAGAUCAGUCAGUGCUCUUAACAGCUAAGCCAUCUCUCCAGCCUCCAUUUGCAUUGCUAUAGGGUCUUAGAAACUGAGAUAAUAGAAGUUUCAUAUUAAUCUGGCUAGCUAGGUUGUAUUUACUGUUUAUCUGUAACUGGUUGUAGGUACCUGGUCUUCUCUGUGUUGGGAAAAUUCCUAGAAACUCCUCCUUACAGAGAUUCUGGAAGGGGCCGGGCUUUGGUGGCACACGCCUUUAAUCCCAGCACUUGGGAGGCAGAGGCAGGCGGAUCUCUGUGAGUUCCAGGCCAGCCUGGUUUCCAGAGUGAGUGCCAGGAUAACUUUGCAGCUCUUAGCUCUAAUCUAUACUGGAGCCCCAUUGCUAUGGUGAUAAGGUAUGGAACGGCACGUUAUAAUUUUCAUUGUUUAACCUCAGUAUUUCAGUGGACUUGUGUAACUAGACUGUGAUUUUCACAAAUGUAGUUUAGCAUCUGCCUCGCUUUGUGUGAACAAGAAGGCUAACAGGCCAGAGCUGGGUAGACAUCUGUCCUCCAAGUAGGCUGUGAUUCUGGUGAAAUCUUUUCUUCCCAAGAGUUGCCUUUGUUGCAGGGACCACUCUGAAUAUAUUUCAUAAUGAGCAUUUUCCUCACCUUUCUGCCAAAGCCACAAGGGGCUCUUUCUUGGCUCUUUCUGGUGAGAACUUGGCUGAACUCCUGGGGUAAAGCUCACAACAGUGUGAGGCUCCUAGUUUGCAGGUUCCAGGACCUUCACAAUUGUUCUCAUUCAUCCUCCAGCCAUUCCCUGAAUCGGAGCUCCAGCUAUGGUUGCUGUAGGCAGGCAGGCUGAUCUCUCUGUGCCCCUUGGCUUUGCCUGGCUAAAUGCAUUUUAGGGUUUCCACUGAACUGCAACCUCAAUUCUAAGAUGGGUCCAAGAAAAUUCAAUGAUCUUAUGUUUUCCCCACUUUUUCUUUUUAUACAGACAAGUGUGAUACCCUCUAACUUCCAAAGACUUCCUGCCAGAGCCAAAUCCAGAAAUCUGUUGGGUUUUUUUCUUACAAAAUCAUAAAAUUCAAAAUAUAAUCAGUUCUCUGCAACAAUCAUGGGUUGUGCCUCUCUGAAUUCAACCAACCAUAGUGUAGUGGUUUGUUUGAUGAUGUCCCUCAUAAGCUCAUAUGGUUGAAUAUUUGGUCCCCAGUUGGUGGUGUUGUUUGGGUAAGUUAAGGAUGGGGGUAUACUUGCUGGAGGAAGUAUAUCACUGUGGGUGGGCCUUGACAUUUCAAAGCCUCAUGCCAUUCCCAGUGUGCUUUUUGCUUCUUGCUUAUGGUUUAAGAUGUGAAUAAGCUCCCAGCCUCUGCUCUAGCAGCCCUGUCUGUAGCUUACUGCCAUGCUUCCCUGCCAUCAUGGUCUCUUCCUCCUGUGGGAUCAUAAGCCAAAUAAACCCUUUCUUUAAGCUGCCUUGGUCAUGGUGUUUCAUCACAGCGAUAGAAAAGUAACUUAUACACACAGGUUGAAAGAUACAUUUAAUUGCAUCUGAACUGUGCUUGUUCGGUUAUUUUUUGUCAUUAUUUCCAAAUAAAGUGUAAGAACUAU